rnacentral:snoRNA from 1 species
AUCCAAUGAUAAGGACACUUACGAAGUAACUCCUUGAAUCGCUCCCAAGCCUCUUACAAAGACUCGUCAUCCAAUUGUUGAAAGUUGUGAUCUCGUUCCUCAACUU